GAUGAACGCUGACAGAAUGCUUAACACAUGCAAGUCGAUGGGGAAGUGGUGCUUGCACCAUGGUAACCAUGGCGGACGGGUGAGUAACGCGUAAGGAACUUGCCUGCGGGACUGGGAUAACAGCAGGAAACUGCUGAUAAUACCGGAUAAGGUCAUUAAGCUGCAUAGCUUAGUGAUGAAAGGAGACGCCUGCGGAGAGCCUUGCGUCCUAUUAGCUAGUUGGAGGGGUAACGGCCCACCAAGGCGAAGAUAGGUAGCCGGCCUGAGAGGGUGGACGGCCACAAGGGGACCGAGAUACGGCCCUUACUCCUACGGGAGGCAGCAGUGGGGAAUAUUGGACAAUGGGGGCAACCCUGAUCCAGCAAUUCUGUGUGCACGAAGACGGUUUUCGGAUUGUAAAGUGCUUUCAGCAGGGAAGAAGUAAGUGACGGUACCUGCAGAAGAAGCGACGGCUAAAUACGUGCCAGCAGCCGCGGUAAUACGUAUGUCGCGAGCGUUAUCCGGAAUUAUUGGGCAUAAAGGGCAUCUAGGCGGCCUUUCAAGUCAGGGGUGAAAACCUGCGGCUCAACCGCAGGCCUGCCUUUGAAACUGAUAGGCUGGAGUACCGGAGAGGUGGACGGAACUGCACGAGUAGAGGUGAAAUUCGUAGAUAUGUGCAGGAAUGCCGAUGAUGAAGAUAGUUCACUGGACGGUAACUGACGCUGAAGUGCGAAAGCCGGGGGAGCGAACAGG
rnacentral:rRNA from 1 species